GACGAACGCUGGCGGCGUGCUUAAUACAUGCAAGUCGAGCGAUGAAGUUUCCUUCGGGAAACGGAUUAGCGGCGGACGGGUGAGUAACACGUGGGUAACCUGCCUCAUAGAGGGGAAUAGCCUCCCGAAAGGGAGAUUAAUACCGCAUAACAUUGCAGUUUCGCAUGAAACAGCAAUUAAAGGAGCAAUCCGCUAUGAGAUGGACCCGCGGCGCAUUAGCUAGUUGGUAAGGUAAUGGCUUACCAAGGCGACGAUGCGUAGCCGACCUGAGAGGGUGAUCGGCCACAUUGGGACUGAGACACGGCCCAGACUCCUACGGGAGGCAGCAGUGGGGAAUAUUGCACAAUGGGGGAAACCCUGAUGCAGCAACGCCGCGUGAGUGAUGACGGUCUUCGGAUUGUAAAGCUCUGUCUUUGGGGACGAUAAUGACGGUACCCAAGGAGGAAGCCACGGCUAACCACGUG
rnacentral:rRNA from 1 species